UUUUACAAAUUCGAGACGAGCUUUCCAUUUUAUCUCUGCAACUGCGACGUGGCAAUCUUCGGAACUCAGAUACGGAUUUGUUGGCGGAGAUUCAACUUCACUUCCGAGCAACUUUACGCUUGAACCGCCGGCGGCCGGCGAGAAUUAUGGUUUUGUAGUAGGUAGAUAUGAGGUCAUAGGAACGAAAAGGAAGGAGAAAUGGAAGGAUUGGUGGUUCGGUCACCUUUCGUUUCAACAGGGAAGAAGUUUCCUUUCUCACCUUUGCUCGAUUCUUUGCCGAGUUGUUCUGCUUCUGGCAGUGUAUUUGCGAAGACCGUAUCGAAAUCGCUGAAAUGUAGAAGAGUAACGAGAUUGAACACGAAGUACGGUAAAAUCAGAGCGCAUUCGUCGAAUGUAAGUAUCGGAUCCGAUGGAUACAAGCACGAGGAGGAAAAGGAGGGCCAGCAUGUUAUUUCCAGCAGUGCACCUGCUGAUAGUUCAUCUAAAACUGAGAAGUCUCCAAAUGGAUUGCCUUAUCCUCUUUCUAUUGCGCUAGUACUAAUUGGGUGCAGUUUAGUAUUCUCACUGAUUGCCUUUGUGAAAGGAGGACCAUCGUCAAUCUUGGCCGCAGUCGCUAAGUCAGGGUUCACUGCUGCUUUCUCCUUAAUAUUUGUCUCUGAAAUUGGAGACAAGACAUUUUUCAUUGCUGCACUCUUGGCCAUGCAAUAUAAGAAAGGACUGGUUCUGUUAGGAUCUAUGGGAGCUCUUUCACUUAUGACAGUCCUCUCAGUUAUAAUUGGACGGAUAUUUCACUCAGUACCUGCUCAGUUCCAGACAACUUUACCAAUUGGAGAAUAUGCGGCUGUAACUCUUCUAUUGUUCUUUGGUCUCAAGUCCAUUAAAGAUGCAUGGGAACUUCCCUCGAGUGUUCCUAAACAGGACAACGAGAGUCCUCCAGAACUUGAUGAAUAUGUUGAAGCAGAGGAGCUUGUUAAAGAAAAGGUUUCAAAACGGCUCUCCAAUCCUCUUGAAAUCAUCUGGAAGUCGUUCAGCCUUAUAUUUUUUGCUGAAUGGGGUGAUCGCUCAAUGCUUGCAACCAUUGCUCUUGGAGCUGCACAGUCUCCUUGGGGCGUGGCUACGGGAGCUAUCACUGGACACCUAAUUGCAACCACCAUUGCCACCACAGUCUCCUUGGGGCGUGGCUACGGGAGCUAUCACUGGACACCUAAUUGCAACCACCAUUGCCAUUCUAGGAGGAGCACUUCUUGCAAAUUACAUUUCUGAAAAACUGGUCGGCUAUGUGGGCGGUGUACUCUUCUUGAUUUUUGCAGUAGCAACCUUUUUCGGAGUUUUCUGACUAUUGCACGACAUCGAGUUCUUCAACGCCCUAUGGUCAGGUCAAUGCAUUCAAAGGCUCUAAUGCUAGUAGCCACAGUGAGAAGAGGAAGAAAAGUGGCUUAACGUAGGUUAUUGUUUCUUUUCUUUCUGAUGUUUAUGAUAUAAUCCUUUUCAUUAUUCUCAAGCUUCAUAAUUAUGAUUUCGUGUGCUUGUCGUGAACAAUUUUCUUUCCCCAUAUGGUUCGUAGUGGAAUUCAGAUUUUUGCCAAUAAAAUUUCAUUUUCUGUUAUA